rnacentral:rRNA from 1 species
AUGCCUCCGCCUGCUGCAGCCGUCGCUGGUCUCGCGCCUCCCUCAGCCGCCGUCGCCUAUGCCUGUCCCGCGCCUCCCUCCGCCGCUCGCGCCGCCGCUUCCCCGUCGAGCUUCACGUCCUCGGGAGGAGAGGAAGCUAGCACUGCUCUUCCCGAGGGACGCGCCGUCGUGCCAUCGACAGGAGACGGCCAGGCAGAGCGCGCCGUCGCCACCGGCUGGCGCGUCGAUGGGAGGAGGCCAGGGUUAGGGUGCUCUCCUCCUCGCGCCUGUGGAUCUCCUGGCGCUGCGGGCUGCCGGAGCUGA